CUACGGGCGGCAGCAGUGAGGAAUUUUGCGCAAUGGGGGAAACCCUGACGCAGCAACGCCGCGUGAGUGAAGAAGGCCCUUGGGUCGUAAAGCUCUGUCAAUGGGGAAGAAGUUGUUUGGUGUUAAUAGCAUCAUUUAUUGACGGUACCCAUGAAGGAAGCACCGGCUAGCUCCGUGCCAGCAGCCGCGGUAAUACGGGGGGUGCAAGCGUUAUUCGGAAUUAUUGGGCGUAAAGGGCACGCAGGCGGUCCUGUCAGUCAGAUGUGAAAGCCCGGGGCUCAACCCCGGACGUGCAUUUGAAACAGCAGGACUUGAGUACGGGAGAGGAAAGGGGAAUUCCUGGUGUAGAGGUGAAAUUCGUAGAUAUCAGGAGGAACACCGGUGGCGAAGGCGCCUUUCUGGACCGAUACUGACGCUGAGGUGCGAAGGCGUGGGUAGCGAACGGGAUUAGAUACCCCUGUAGUC
rnacentral:rRNA from 1 species